AACCAGCACCUCAAGUGGUCAGGAUGAUUAUUGGGCCUAAAGCAUCCGUAGCCGGCUUUGUAAGUUUUCGGUUAAAUCCAUGCGCUCAACGUAUGGGCUGCCGGGAAUACUGCAAAGCUAGGGAGUGGGAGAGGUAGACGGUACUCGGUAGGAAGGGGUAAAAUCCUUUGAUCUAUUGAUGACCACCUGUGGCGAAGGCGGUCUACCAGAACACGUCCGACGGUGAGGGAUGAAAGCUGGGGGAGCAAACCGGAUUAGAUACCCGGGUAGUCCCAGCUGUAAACUAUGCAAACUCAGUGAUGCAUUGGCUUGAUGCCAAUGCAGUGCUGCAGGGAAGCCGUUAAGUUUGCCGCCUGGGAAGUACGUACGCAAGUAUGAAACUUAAAGGAAUUGGCGGGGGAGCACCACAAGGGGUGAAGCCUGCGGUUCAAUUGGAGUCAACGCCAGAAAUCUUACCCGGAGAGACAGCAGAAUGAAGGUCAAGCUGAAGACUUUACCAGACAAGCUGAGAGGUGGUGCAUGGCCGUCGCCAGCUCGUGCCGUGAGAUGUCCUGUUAAGUCAGGUAACGAGCGAGAUCCCUGCCUCUAGUUGCCACCACUACUCUCAGGAGUAGUGGGGCGAAUUAGCGGGACCGCCGUAGUUAAUACGGAGGAAGGAAGGGGCCACGGCAGGUCAGUAUGCCCCGAAACUCUGGGGCCACACGCGGGCUGCAAUGGUAACGACAAUGUGUUCCAAAUCCGAAAGGAGGAGGUAAUCCUCAAACGUUACCACAGUUAUGACUGAGGGCUGCAACUCGCCCUCACGAAUAUGGAAUCCCUAGUAACUGCGUGUCACUAUCGCGCGGUGAAUACGUCCCUGCUCCU
rnacentral:rRNA from 1 species